ensembl:lncRNA
AGGCCUUCCUUGAGAUGGAUUAAAAGUAUGAGAAAGGAACAUUUAUUAGGCACUCAGACGUCACGAAUGUGUGUUAAGCACUGAACAGAUAUCCAAGCAGAAGGUCUGGGUUUACCUUUCAGCAGGAAGAUGUUGCCAUGAUUCUGUGCUCUUUCUGAGCACUUCUAUUUCCUGAGAACAGUGGCCUUUCCCACUGACACACCACCACAGAGCUUUGCUGUUUGGCACAGCUUGCCCUAAAGAAAUGUGACCUCACAUGUUC